rnacentral:rRNA from 1 species
UACGUAGGCAGCAAGCGUUGUUCGGAGUUACUGGGCGUAGAGGGUGCGUAGGCGGUCCUAUAAGUAUGGUGUGAAAUCUCCCCGGCUUAACUGGGAGGGUGCGCUAUAGACUGUGGGACUAGAGUGUGGGAGAGGAAAGUGGAAUUCCUGGUGUAGCGGUGAAAUGCGUAGAUAUCAGGAGGAACACCGGUGGUGUAAACGGCUUUCUGGACCAUAAACUGACGCUGAGGCACGAAAGCGUGGGUAGCAAACAGG